rnacentral:rRNA from 1 species
UACGUAGGGUGCGAGCGUUGUCCGGAAUUAUUGGGCGUAAAGAGCUCGUAGGCGGUCUGUCGCGUCGAUCGUGAAAACUUGGGGCUUAACCCUGAGCUUGCGGUCGAUACGGGCAUGACUGGAGUUCGGCAGGGGAGACUGGAAUCCUGGUGUAGCGGUGAAAUGCGCAGAUAUCAGGAGGAACACCUGUGGCGAAAGCGGCUCACUGGACCAUAACUGACGCUGAUGCACGAAAGCUAGGGGAGCAAACAGG